UACGUAGGGCGCAAGCGUUGUCCGGAAUUAUUGGGCGUAAAGAGCUCGUAGGCGGCUUGUCACGUCGGAUGUGAAAGCCCGGGGCUUAACCCCGGGUCUGCAUUCGAUACGGGCAGGCUAGAGUGUGGUAGGGGAGGUCGGAAUUCCUGGUGUAGCGGUGAAAUGCGCAGAUAUCAGGAGGAACACCGGUGGCGAAGGCGGAUCUCUGGGCCAUUACUGACGCUGAGGAGCGAAAGCGUGGGGAGCGAACAGG
rnacentral:rRNA from 1 species